UGCGUGGUUUGGGUGAAUGUUCUGUCCGCUGAGGUUAAUGACUCCUUGCCCUUCCCACUUAGCUGCUCUGCAUUCCUGGCCUACACUGUCAGAUGGAUCUACAGAAAAUUCUAUUUUCACUUUAGCAUCAUCUGAAGACAAAAAUCAUAUUCAUUUUUAAUGGACAGAAAUCUACCUGUAACUUCAGUCAGUUGCAUAACCAAUGAUUUGUUGUUGAGCAACUGCUAAAUGAUGAAAGGCCUUAAGAGCACAAAGGUGAGGCUUCCUGAGGAUGAGGAAAUUUUGCCUGUGGGCUGUGGCUUCAGCUCCUGCCUAGACAUUUCCUGUGUGGUCUUCUGGACAGCCUGCUCUGCAGAUUUCGGAACUCCCAGCUCUCACAAUCGUGGAAGCCAGUUCUUUUGAAACAGAGCUCUUGAUAUAUUUAAUAAAUGUAAUUUG